rnacentral:rRNA from 1 species
GAUGAACGCUGGCGGCGUGCUUAACACAUGCAAGUCGAACGGAAAGGCCCAAGCUUGCUUGGGUACUCGAGUGGCGAACGGGUGAGUAACACGUGGGUGAUCUGCCCUGCACUUCGGGAUAAGCCUGGGAAACUGGGUCCAAUACCGGAUAGGACCACAUUUUGGAUGGUGUGGUGGAAAGUUUUUCGGUGUGGGAUGAGCUCGCGGCCUAUCAGCUUGUUGGUGGGGUAAUGGCCUACCAAGGCGUCGACGGGUAGCCGGCCUGAGAGGGUGUACGGCCACAUUGGGACUGAGAUACGGCCCAGACUCCUACGGGAGGCAGCAGUGGGGAAUAUUGCACAAUGGGCGCAAGCCUGAUGCAGCGACGCCGCGUGGGGGAUGACGGCCUUCGGGUUGUAAACUCCUUUCGCUAGGGACGAAGCGCAAGUGACGGUACCUGGAGAAGAAGCCCCGGCUAACUACGUG